rnacentral:rRNA from 1 species
AGCGAACGCUGGCGGCAGGCCUAACACAUGCAAGUCGAACGGACCCUUCGGGGUUAGUGGCGGACGGGUGAGUAACACGUGGGAACGUACCUUUAGGUUCGGAACAACUCAGGGAAACUUGAGCUAAUGCCGAAUGUGCCCUUCGGGGGAAAGAUUUAUCGCCUUUAGAGCGGCCCGCGUCUGAUUAGCUAGUUGGUGAGGUAAAGGCUCACCAAGGCUACGAUCAGUAGCUGGUCUGAGAGGAUGAUCAGCACACACUGGGACUGAGACACGGCCCAGACUCCUACGGGAGGCAGCAGUGGGGAAUCUUGCGCAAUGGGCGAAAGCCUGACGCAGCCAUGCCGCGUGAAUGAUGAAGGCCUUAGGAUUGUAAAAUUCUUUCACCGGGGACGAUAAUGACGGUACCCGGAGAAGAAGCCCCGGCUAACUUCGUGCCAGCCGCCGCCGUAAUAC